GGAAUUUUGGGCAAUGGGCGAAAGCCUGACCCAGCAACGCCGCGUGAAGGAUGAAAUCCCUCGGGAUGUAAACUUCGCAAGAACAGGAAGAAUAAGUAAGGGUUAAUAUCUCUUAUGAUGACGGUACUGUUUGUAAGGUCCGGCUAACUACGUGCCAGCAGCCGCGGUAAUACGUAGGGACCAAGCGUUGUUCGGAUUUACUGGGCGUAAAGGGCGCGUAGGCGGCGUGGUAAGUCACUUGUGAAAUCUCUGAGCUUAACUCAGAACGGCCAAGUGAUACUGCUGUGCUAGAGUGCAGAAGGGGCAAUCGGAAUUCUUGGUGUAGCGGUGAAAUGCGUAGAUAUCAAGAGGAACACCUGAGGUGAAGACGGGUUGCUGGGCUGACACUGACGCUGAGGCGCGAAAGCCAGGGGAGCAAA
rnacentral:rRNA from 1 species